rnacentral:rRNA from 1 species
GAUUGAUGGUGCUUGCACCUGAUUGACGAUGGAUCACCAGUGAGUGGCGGACGGGUGAGUAACACGUAGGUAACCUGCCCCGGAGCGGGGGAUAACAUUUGGAGACAGAUGCUAAUACCGCAUAACAACGAAAGCCACAUGGCUUUUGUUUGAAAGAUGGCUUUGGCUAUCACUCUGGGAUGGACCUGCGGUGCAUUAGCUAGUUGGUAAGGUAACGGCUUACCAAGGCGAUGAUGCAUAGCCGAGUUGAGAGACUGAUCGGCCACAAUGGAACUGAGACACGGUCCAUACUCCUACGGGAGGCAGCAGUAGGGAAUCUUCCACAAUGGGCGCAAGCCUGAUGGAGCAACACCGCGUGAGUGAAGAAGGGUUUCGGCUCGUAAAGCUCUGUUGUUGGAGAAGAACGUGCGUGAGAGUAACUGUUCACGCAGUGACGGUAUCCAACCAGAAAGUCACGGCUAACUACGUGCCAGCAGCCGCGGUAAUACGUAGGUGGCAAGCGUUAUCCGGAUUUAUUGGGCGUAAAGCGAGCGCAGGCGGUUGCUUAGGUCUGAUGUGAAAGCCUUCGGCUUAACCGAAGAAGUGCAUCGGAAACCGGGCGACUUGAGUGCAGAAGAGGACAGUGGAACUCCAUGUGUAGCGGUGGAAUGCGUAGAUAUAUGGAAGAACACCAGUGGCGAAGGCGGCUGUCUGGUCUGCAACUGACGCUGAGGCUCGAAAGCAUGGGUAGCGAACAG